CAGCCGCCGCGGGAAUACGAAGGGUGCAAGCGUUAAUCGGAAUUACUGGGCGUAGAGCGUGCGUAGGCGGUGAGUUAAGUCUGCUGUGAAAUCCCCGGGCUCAACCUGGGAAUGGCAGUGGAUACUGGCUCGCUAGAGUGUGUCAGAGGAUGGUGGAAUUCCCGGUGUAGCGGUGAAAUGCGUAGAGAUCGGGAGGAACAUCAGUGGCGAAGGCGGCCAUCUGGGACAACACUGACGCUGAGGCACGAAAGCGUGGGGAGCAAACAGGAUUAGAUACCCCGGUAGUCCCUGUCUCUUAUAC
rnacentral:rRNA from 1 species